rnacentral:rRNA from 1 species
UUGAAAGGGAAACGAUUGAAGUCAGUCAUGCCGGCGGGAAUCAACUUAGGGGAAACUUUAAGUGCACUUCACGUUUGGCAGGUCAGCAUCGAUUUUGGAUGUCAUAAAAUGAUUGGGGGAAGGUAGCUCCUUCGGGAGUGUUAUAGCCCUUGGUAGAUGUGAUGUCUGGGAUCGAGGAUUGCAACGGAUACCCUUUGGGCUAGCCGCCUGAUCUCUAACUAGUGUUGGGUUACGGACAGCAUGCUGACCCGUGAUUUAAUUAUUGGUUAAAAGGUUAGAGCGAGUGUAAAUUCGUUAAGGAUGUUGACGUA